GAGAAGCAAUCAAAGUGAGUAAUCAUCCGAGAGAGAAGUAGCAUCCAAAGAGAGAAACCAUCAGAUAAAUAGAUCAUCAGAGAGAGACAAACCAAAUCAAACCAAUUCAUCAUCCAAUACAAUCCAAGCUAACCAAAUCCAAACCAAUCCAACAAAUCCAAACUUUACCAAACCAAAUUGUUCCGAUCCAAACUGAACCAAAUCUUACAAAGUACAAACUAAUCCAAACCAACAUAAAGAAGAACCAAACCACCAAACAGAAGAAUCAGUAAAUAGAAA
rnacentral:lncRNA from 1 species